GACGAACGCUGGCGGCGUGCUUAACACAUGCAAGUCGAGCGGAAAGGCCCUGCUUUUGUGGGGUGCUCGAGUAGCGAACGGGUGAGUAACACGUGAGUAACCUGCCCUUGACUUUGGGAUAACUUCAGGAAACUGGGGCUAAUACCGGAUAGGAGCUCCUGCUGCAUGGUGGGGGUUGGAAAGUUUCGGCGGUUGGGGAUGGACUCGCGGCUUAUCAGCUUGUUGGUGGGGUAGUGGCUUACCAAGGCUUUGACGGGUAGCCGGCCUGAGAGGGUGACCGGCCGCAUUGGGACUGAGAUACGGCCCAGACUCCUACGGGAGGCAGCAGUGGGGAAUAUUGCACAAUGGGCGGAAGCCUGAUGCAGCAACGCCGCGUGCGGGAUGACGGCCUUCGGGUUGUAAACCGCUUUCGCCUGUGACGAAGCGUGAGUGACGGUAAUGGGUAAAGAAGCACCGGCUAACUACGUG
rnacentral:rRNA from 1 species